rnacentral:rRNA from 1 species
UAGGGAAUCUUCGGCAAUGGACGGAAGUCUGACCGAGCAACGCCGCGCGAGUGAAGAAGGUUUUCGGAUCGUAAAGCUCUGUUGUUAGAGAAGAACGUUGGUAGGAGUGGAAAAUCUACCAAGUGACGGUAACUAACCAGAAAGGGACGGCUAACUACGUGCCAGCAGCCGCGGUAAUACGUAGGUCCCGAGCGUUGUCCGGAUUUAUUGGGCGUAAAGCGAGCGCAGGCGGUUCUUUAAGUCUGAAGUUAAAGGCAGUGGCUUAACCAUUGUACGCUUUGGAAACUGGAGUACUUGAGUGCAGAAGGGGAGAGUGGAAUUCCAUGUGUAGCGGUGAAAUGCGUAGAUAUAUGGAGGAACGCCGGUGGCGAAAGCGGCUCUCUGGUCUGUAACUGACGCUGAGGCUCGAAAGCGUGGGGAGCAAACAGG